rnacentral:rRNA from 1 species
UAAUACGUAGAUGGCAAGCGUUAUCCGGAUUUAUUGGGCGUAAAGGGUGCUCAGCUGGUUUAUUAAGUUUGUAGUUAAAAUUCGAAGCUCAACUUCGAAGUGCUGCGAAAACUGGUAAACUUGAGUACAGGAGAGGGUAGUGGAAUUCCAUGUGAAGCGGUAAAAUGCGUAGAUAUAUGGAGGAACACCAGUGGCGAAGGCGGCUACCUGGCCUGUAACUGACGGUCAAGCACGAAAGCGUGGGGAGCAAAUAGG